rnacentral:lncRNA from 1 species
AUGAGCCCCAGGCCUGGCUGGGUCCACUCCCUGCUUCUCAGGGCCGCAUCUCAGUGCACACUGAGACUACAGCCCACAGGGCAACCCCUGGGCCUGGAUGCUGCAGCCCCAGCCCUGCCUCCUCUCCGCGGGGUCACAUGUGAGAGACAGCUCGAUCAGGAGCGAGCAGGUGGCCUCUCUUUCUGCCUCCUGCUAGCUACUGUGAAAACAGUCAGCAGAGCCUGCAAACGCGCUCGCCGGGACUUCCUGUGGCCACACGGUGAUGAGCCCCAAGUAGAAGUCACCCCCCCACGGCCACACGGCAGAUCGGAGUGGAAGCCUGAGAGCCGCAUCGCCCAGCACAUUCACGCCUGCUCCUUGUCUCCAGGCCCCGGGAGAGCUGGGCCCAGACAGACCAGGGACCAAGACAAAACGGACUUGUGGGCAGGGGAUACAGCAUUCCCACCAUCCCCUGUUCCCCCAGGAUGCCGAGUCACAGGAAAACUGAGGCACAGAGAGGCAGAGACUGUCUGCAUCCCUCCUGAGCAGGUCCCUGCAGCACCUCCUCCCAGUGGAACGGGAACCUCCACAAGGGCCUCACGCUGUAGGAAUCGGCCCCAGGGAAACCCCCGGAAACGGGCGAGACGGCCGCGGAUGCACCGGGUGCCUGUCCCUCUGAGUGCGCAGAGCCAGCCUGAGGCGCAGACGUGA